ACCUGGCCUCCCAGGCUUUGCCCAAUCUGUGGCUUCCCCUGGAAUGUAGUUCUCUGCUCUUCUCUGCUGAUCAGACCCCUCCCCUCAGGUCCAGGCCCUUGGGACCACUCUCUCCAAGUCUCCUCCCCUGCCCCAGCGCCUCUAUCUGUUCCCACUCUGGUCCCAAUUUGUAAUACCUGCUCAUGCAGCCUGCCUGUCCCAGAAGCAGCCUGGGUUCACCAGGACAGGUGUCUGUCCUGUCCCACCAGUCAGGCUCAAAGUCUGUCCAGGAAGGCAAGUCCGACCCUCAGUCCUGGAGGGGGCCAUGCAGUGAGCUGGCAAAGACCUGUACAGGCUCAUCCAGGAAGUCUCGGCCCAGAGGCUGAAGGGUGGCCAACCAGCACAGUUUGCCCAGGAACGAGGUAGGGGAGGGGCGGGGGGCGGUUUCCUGGGAUGCGGGACUUUCAGUGCUAAGCUGGAAUGCCCUGUUCACCCUAGCUGAAGCCACUUGCUCAGAGCCGCACAGCAAGCCCACCACCCUGAACCUCCAGAUUACCAACUCAGCAUUGUGUCCUGACAGUGUCAUCAUAGAUGGUCAACACCGUCACCUGGGCAGCACUGAAGCCCAGAGCGGGAGAGACUGGCUCAAGACCAUGGGCCCUGACAUUCUCCAGCUUUCAUGGUGUUCCUGCAAUCCAAGUGCCGCUUAUCUCUCUACAGGUCCACCAGAUGACCGGCUGGCCUCCUAAUUGGGCUUCCUGCAUUCCUGCCUGUGCUCGGAGCUCCCUUCUCCACUUGCCUGCUGGAGGAGGUUUACAAACAAAAUCAGAUCAUGGCACUCCCCUGGGGCCCUGCAUCCUGUGGCCAGCAGGUCUUGGAAACGCCCCUGUACCCCAGAAACUUCCUGAUCAGUCCCUGGUCAGUGUAUAUCAUGCUUCCUGUGACAUGACAUCAACUUUUCAGUGACUUCCACUGGUUUUGGCCCAGCUCGAAGAGCCUGACACCUCUGCAGGGAAUUCUACCAGGGAGCUCAGGAGGGGGAAUUGCACUGAAGAUUUGUCCCAUCGUGAAGCAAGAGCACUGGAACUUACACUCCACCAUCAGGCCCUGUCACAGGAGAACAAAGAAGGAAGGCAGAGGAGAUCAUGCUCCGGCCAGCAGGGAAUCUCCAUUUUUUUCAGCCUCAUACCUUGGAAAGUACAAAGGAGUGAGAGCUGGGACUACCAGCCAGAGGGUUCAUGGAGGUAGUGGGAGGGGAAGAUGGGUUCUGCAUGGAGCCACUCCAGGGACUUUUCUUCUGUCUCACAGCCUGACAAUCACCUCUAGCUGUUCUCAGUCCCAUUCUCAUCAAUGACCUCGUCUCCUGAUUUUGUACAAUAUCUAGGUGACCUUCUCUUCUUUCCAUCUUCAAACGCUUGAUCAUUGAUGCUCCCUUUUCUCUUCUCUCUCCUCCUGGGAAAAGAGAAGGACCAACAUCCCCCUUUCCCUUCCUCCUGUGCUGUCCCGACCCCUCUGAGACCUGGCUCUAGCAGUAAGUCCCUCUCUCUUCUGCAGCACCAGCCUCUGCCCAUCCCUGCCCUCUGCACACAAAGCUCUCACAUUGUCUGCACUUUAAGAACUUUUGUGGCAAACCCUGGCAAAUCCUGCCACUUGUUUCCACUCUUCUCAAAUGGCUUUGAGGUCAUCAUUGACCUAUCCCAUUUGACCCUGUCCUGUAUCUGAUGUUGUACCCUUUCUCCUUGAUCCCACUCUGGCAACUCUCCCACUCCCCUUUCUUGGAUCAACUGUCUUGCUCCUCAGUCUUGAUCAAUGCCUCCUUCUCUCUCUUUAGCCUUGGCCCUUUUUGGCCAGGGAAAUAAAUGUGAAAUACAUAAAGCUUCAUUUUAUCUUAUGAUUAUAGCUAUGUUGAUGUUACCCAAGACCUAAAAGUCACACUCUCUAAUUACACUUCCCUCCUGUGUUCUGGGUCCUCUUGGACCAGUCCUUACUCUGGCUCCCCUCCUGGAUGUCUCCCAGACUUCUAAUUAGAAUUACUGUUUCCUAUAUCAAGCUAAUUAUCUUUCCCACCAACCUCCUCCAUCCUUGGGUGAAAGCAUCACUUGGUUGCAAAAGUCAGAAAUCUGGGUUUCAUUCUUGCGGUAGGUAGAAUAAUGCCCCCAGGCCCCAGGUUUUGACAUCCGAAUCCCUGGGACUUUGCAGAUGUGAUUCAGUUUAGGAUUUUGAGAUGGGGAGAUUAUCUGGGAGAGCCUGAUGUCAUCAUAAGGUUCUUAUAAGAGGGAGGCAGGAGGGUUAGAGUGAGUAGUAAGAGAUGCAACAGUGGAAGCAAGAGGUUGGGGUGAUGUGGCCACAAGCCCAGGAGUGCUGACAGACAUCAGAAGCUGGAAGGGACAAGGAAUGGUUUCUCCUCUGGAGCCUCCAGAAAGAACCAGCCCUGCUGACACCUUGAUUUUAGCCUUGGAAGACUCAUUUUGGACUUCUGACCUUGAACGUUGUAAGAGAAUAAAUUUACAUAUUUUAAACUGGUA
rnacentral:lncRNA from 1 species